UGGGCCACAACAGCAAUGAUACAACAUGGCUAAGUAUCAAAAAAUGGCUAGAUAUGCAAAACCAAAAUUCUGUGGUGUAUGUUGCACUUGGAACUGAAGCAACACUCAGUCAAAAAGAGCUGAAUGAGAUAGCUCUAGGGUUAGAAAAGAGUGGACUGCCUUUCUUUUGGGUAAUAAGGAAUCAGCCAAGAAUGAAUCAAGAAGAGUCACAAAUGCUUCCUGAAGGUUAUGAAGAGAGAAUAAAAAACAGAGGUAUAAUUUAUAGAGGUUGGGUUCCACAGACAAAGAUAUUAAGUCAUUUAUCUAUAGGAGGAUUCUUGACUCACUGUGGAUGGAAUUCGGUCAUAGAAGCGCUUUGUUUCGGGCGGGUUUUGAUUAUGUUUCCAGUGAUGAAUGACCAAGGUUUGAAUACUAGGUUGUUGCAAGGUAGAGGAGUUGGUGUAGAGAUACCAAGAAAUGAAUUGAGUCAAAAAGAGCUGAAUGAGUUAGCUCUGGGGUUAGAAAAAUGUGGAUUGCCAUUCUUUUGGGUAACAAGGAAUCAGCCAAGGAUGAAUCAAGAAGAGUCACAAAUGCUUCCUGAUGGUUAUGAAGAGAGAGUUAAAAACAGAGGUAUAAUCUAU
rnacentral:lncRNA from 1 species